UCAUUAGUUUUUUAAUUGAAAGCUGGAAUGAAUGGUUUGAUGAGAAAAUUUCUUUUUCAGUAUUAAUUUUUUAGAAUUUUAUUUUUAAGUUAAAAAGCUUAAAUUUUUAUGAAAGACGAGAAGACCCUAUAGAGUUUAAUUAAUUAUUAAUUAUUUUAAAUUAUAAUUUAUUUUAAAAAAUUUAAUUGUUAAUUUAAUUGGGGUGAUUAAAAAAUUUAUUAAACUUUUUUUAAAUUUUAACAUUUAUUUAUGAUUCUUUGAUCCAUUUAUAUGAUUAUAAGAAUAAAUUACCUUAGGGAUAACAGCGUAAUUUUAUUUAAGAGUUCUUAUUUAAAAAAAAGUUUGCGACCUCGAUGUUGGAUUAAAAUUAAUUUUUGGUGUAGAAGCUAAGC
rnacentral:rRNA from 1 species